GAAUAUGAAGUAAUAAAUUACAAUUAGUUUCGACCUAAUAUUAGGUAAAUUUUACUUUAUCCUUAUUCU
rnacentral:tRNA from 1 species